rnacentral:misc_RNA from 1 species
AACGCACCUUGCGCUCUCUGGUAUUCCGGAGAGCAUGCCUGUUUGAGUGUCUUGAACAAACCAAACCACAAGUGCCUUUUGGGGCUAUGAUGGUGUUGAAUCUUGAGUGCUGCUGCUUGAUUGUAGCUCAUUCGUAAUGUAUCAGCGUAAACCUUUACCCUUGGUUUCACUCAGUGUUGUAGACUAUGCACUGAGGACACAUUAAUGUGGCCAAGAAUUGAAGAGUAACGCUUCAAAACCUUAUAGUCACUUCUGUUAGACCUCAGAUCAGGUAGGAUUACCUGCUGAACUUAA